ACUAUUCUACCCUAGUUCAUCAGAAUUCAAUGCAGCUGCGGUCUUGGCAGACUUGUAAACGGAUUUUUUCAAGUUUUAAUUAUGAAUUUUCCUUCCAGAGGGUUGCUCAUCUGUGUAUUCGUGGAGAAUGGUAACUGCUACGCUGGUUUUUGGUCUAGUGUGGACAGCUGGACACCUGUCAACACAGAUCACAUGAAACUUCCAAGAACUCUUUCAGAAAGUGUUAGGACAACGCACAACUCGAAUAUCUUAUACCUGGAUUCCCGUAAGGUUCGAGUAGGUACGCAUUUUAUUACCAGUACCCAAAAAUGCCUGUUCAGUUUGCUGAAGUUUACUGAAGAUUUUGAACGGAUUUUGGGAAAGUUCAAAGACCUGAUGUAGUGGAGAAGAGACCAGCGAGAUUGAAGAUGGCAGUAAGAAUAGUUCGUAUCACCCUUCAAGGUUAAGGGUAGUACAGGAAAUUUCAAGAUUUCUGGAUAUCUCGUCGUAAUGCACACCAUGAGGAAUCUACUACCAAGAACAUUUUGACUACCUCCUCCGCUUCAUGGAGAAAGGGACAGGAUGGUCUUGCAUUUGAUCACAGUAAUUUUUAACUGUCUAGCGAUGUUCUUAAUUUGAUUUUAGAAUUUAGAGGGGUUCUUAAAUUUAUUUUAGAUUUUAAAAUUAACAUUACUAUGGCAGUUUUCCAGUUAUUAUGAAGUCUUGCUAAUAAAUCUUUUUGUAUGUUUAAUGUUAAACUAAGCAUAAUUAAGAUCUGGCUUGUUAUUAUAAUACAAAAUUAUGGACUAAUGAAAAAAGGUUAGUUUUAACUAAACUUUUGCAACUGCUGUGGAAACUUUGGAAUAUUCCAAAACUCAGGAGGAGAAUACUCGGGACCAUGGUGUAAAUAACAGAAUUUAACAAAUGUCCUUCUGUAUGUGUAAAAUACUCUUCUGUAUGCUGAAAAUAAACUAUUUAGUUAAUAAUUAGUCUGUACUAAAGUACAGAUUUUUUAUUUAAAGUGAAGUGCAGAUUUUUUAUUUAAAGUGAAUAACCUUUCUUUUUAUAACACCUUGGUGAGUAUAGCAAUAGAUUUGCAGUUUGUGAAAAUCUUGUUGAAUCUUAAGAAAACUCUGAACCUCUUCCAGAUUCCAAAACCUCUAACAAGAUUCCAUUCUUCGUGGCGUCGUCGCCGUCCUCUCUUCCAGAUUCCAUUCUUCUUGUCUUCUCUAAAUGAUUCCAUUCUUGUCGAUGUCCUCUCUCUUCCCGUUUCCAUUCUUCUUCUUGUCGUCCUCUCCGUUUUCAUUCUUCUUGUCUAACUCUCUUCCAGAUUCCAUUCUUAUUGUCGUCGUCUCCUCUCUUCCAGUUUCCAUUAAGACCCUUCUUCCAUGAAUACU